UUACAUUUCAUUGCGAGAAAAAGGUGAAAAUUAGGACUCGGGAAAAAACGGAAGAUGCUUGAGACUUCAAUUCCGGGUGCAACGGUAGCUGUAUUAGCUCCCGAAAGCACAGACAUGGCAUCAGCAACAACGAACAAAGCGAAUCCUACAAAUUUGGCUUGUUCCGAACUCUAGCUUAAUCUCAUAUUUGCAACUGAAAGAUCCCAAGGAUUUCAAUCUAGACGCUGUAAAUAGUCCCGAAAAAUGCUGCGCUCUAAAUCUCUGUAAUUGCUACAAAUCAAUAUGGUCUUAUUCGCCAUUCGGAUACUGUCUGCAUACCUCAAUGGAAAUCAAGUGCUGUAUCAUCUGUGCCGAAAGAAAUUGUGGCUCGUUGCACGUUUGGAAUAAAACAACCGACCACCCUUUGGGGUUUGAAAAUACAUUGUACUGGCCCCUCCGAAAUCGGAAUUUAACC